UACGUAGGCAGCGAGCGUUGUUCGGAAUUACUGGGCGUAAAGAGUGUGUAGGCGGUGCUCCCAGUCUGUUGUGAAAUCCCCCGGCUUAACCGGGGAACGGGCGCCGAUACGACCGCCCUGGAGGGACGUAGGGGGACCUGGAACUUCCGGUGGAGCGGUGAAAUGCGUUGAGAUCGGAAGGAACGCCCGUGGCGAAAGCGAGGUCCUGGACGUUUUCUGACGCUGAGACGCGAAAGCCAGGGGAGCGAACGGG
rnacentral:rRNA from 1 species